UACGUAGGGGGCAAGCGUUGUCCGGAUUUAUUGGGCGUAAAGAGCGUGUAGGCGGCCAGAUAGGUCGGUUGUGAAAACUGGAGGCUCAACCUCCAGACGUCGACCGAAACCCUCUGGCUAGAGUCCGGAAGAGGAGAAUGGAAUUCCUGGUGUAGCGGGUGAAAUGCGCAGAUAUCAGGAAGAACACCCGGUGGCGAAGGCGGUCUCUGGGACGGUACUGACGCUGAGACGCGAAAGCGUGGGGAGCGAACAGG
rnacentral:rRNA from 1 species